rnacentral:SRP_RNA from 1 species
UCGUGCUAGGCGGGGAGUUAGCGGUGCCCUGUACCCGCAAUCCGCUAUAGCGGGGUUGAAUUCCCAACCUGAGGUCUUAUCCUUCCCGAGAGACAGUUAGGCACGUGGUGUUGAAGAUCAGGUCCCACGCAACGUGAGAUCACCGAACCCCGUCAGGACCGGGAGGUAGCAGCGGUAGGUGAAUCCUCUCGUGUGCCGUGGGAUCACCUGGUCGGAGCUAACGACCUGAAUGUCGCUUGAGAAGAGGGAUCGAGGGUGGGUGCACGA